rnacentral:rRNA from 1 species
CAGUAGCCGCGGUAAUACGUAGGGUGCGAGCGUUAAUCGGAAUUACUGGGCGUAAAGCGUGCGCAGGCGGUUUGUUAAGACAGAUGUGAAAUCCCCGGGCUUAACCUGGGAACUGCAUUUGUGACUGGCCGGCUAGAGUAUGGCAGAGGGAGGUGGAAUUCCACGUGUAGCAGUGAAAUGCGUAGAUAUGUGGAGGAACACCGAUGGCGAAGGCAGCCUCCUGGGCCAAUACUGACGCUCAUGCACGAAAGCGUGGGGAGCAAACAGGAUUAGAUACCCCUGUAGUCCCUGUCUCUUAUAC